rnacentral:rRNA from 1 species
CUACGGGUUGCAGCAGUGAGGAAUAUUGCGCAAUGGGGGAAACCCUGACGCAGCGACGCCGCGUGGAUGAUGAAGGCCUUCGGGUCGUAAAAUCCUGUCAGAAGGAAAGAAGUGUAUGGUAGCUAAUAUCUGCCAUACUUGACGGUACCUUCAAAGGAAGCACCGGCUAACUCCGUGCCAGCAGCCGCGGUAAUACGGAGGGUGCAAGCGUUGUUCGGAAUUACUGGGCGUAAAGCACGCGUAGGCGGUUUUAUAAGUCAGAUGUGAAAGUCCACGGCUCAACCAUGGAAGUGCAUUUGAAACUGUAAGACCUGAGUAUUGGAGGGGGUAGUGGAAUUCCCGGUGUAGAGGUGAAAUUCGUAGAUAUCGGGAGGAAUACCGGUGGCGAAGGCGACUAUCUGGCCAAAUACUGACGCUGAGGUGCGAAAGCGUGGGGAGCAAACAGGAUUAGAUACCCUCGUAGUC